rnacentral:rRNA from 1 species
GAUGAACGCUAGCGGCAGGCUUAAUACAUGCAAGUCGAGGGGCAGCAUGAUUGUAGCAAUACAAUUGAUGGCGACCGGCAAACGGGUGCGGAACACGUACACAACCUUCCAACAAGUGGGGGAUAGCCCAGAGAAAUUUGGAUUAAUACCCCGUAACAUAGCGGUAGGGCAUCAAAUUGCCAUUAUAGAUUUUUCGCUUGUUGAUGGGUGUGAGGCUGAUUAGAUAGUUGGCGGGGUAACGGCCCACCAAGUCUACGAUCAGUAGCUGAUGUGAGAGCAUGAUCAGCCACACGGGCACUGAGACACGGGCACGACUCCUACGGGAGGCAGCAGUAAGGAAUAGUGGACAAUGGACGCAAGUCUGAUCCAGCCAUGCCGCGUGAAGGAUUAAGGUCCUCUGGAUUGUAAACUUCUUUUAUAAGGGACGAAAAAAGGCUUUUCUAAGUCGUCUGACGGUACCUUAUGAAUAAGCACCGGCUAACUCCGUGCCAGCAGCCGCCGUAACAC